UACGUAGGGGGCGAGCGUUGUCCGGAAUCAUUGGGCGUAAAGAGCGUGUAGGUGGACUGGAAGGUCUGGUGUGAAAGCCCGGGGCUCAACCCCGGAGGGUCACUGGAAACCAACAGUCUUGAGUCCGGAAGAGGAGAGUGGAAUUCCUGGUGUAGCGGUGGAAUGCGCAGAUAUCAGGAGGAACACCGAUGGCGAAGGCAGCUCUCUGG
rnacentral:rRNA from 1 species